UCAUUUCUACUACUCUUAUCUUUUGGAUAUGAGAAUUCUUGACCGGCUAACACUCAGCUCCAUACAACAUGUCUGGUCUAACCACCGCUUUAUAGAACUUGCAUUUGAGUCUCGGAGGCACAUUCUUGUCACAUAGGACUCCAGACGCUAAUCUCCAUUUCAUCAACCUCACUCUUAUACGAUGCGUAACAUCCCGUCGAUCUCCCCAUCUCCCUGGAUAAUUGACCCUAAGCACUUAAAACUUUCUCUAUUGAGGAUGAUCUGUGAGUCAAGCCUGACUUCCACAUCCGCUUCCCCCUUCACGUUGCUGAACUUACAUUCUACAUACUCUGUCUUAGUGCUACUCAACUUGAAACCUUUAGAGUUUGCCUCCAUACCUCCAGUCUCCCAUUAGCGCUGACUCACGUCCCAUCAAUCAGAACUAUAUCAUCAGCGAACAACAUACACCAUGGCACCUCUCCUUGGAUAUGGUGUGUCAGUCCGUCCAUCGCCAAAGCAAAUAAGAACGGGCUGAAUGCAGAUCCUUUUGUGUAAUCCCAUUACCAACGGAAAAGGCUCUGAAUCACCUCCCACAGUCCUAACCCGAGUCAUAGCUCCAUCGUACAUAUCCUUUAUCGCUCUAAUGUAAGCCACCAGCAUACUUUUCACCUCCAGACACCUCCAAAGGACGUCCUUGGGGACCUUGUCAUAUGCCUUCUCUAGGUCAAUAAACACCAUAUGCAAAUCCCUCUUCCUAUCCCUGUAUAGUUACACCAACCUCUGAUAAGGUGGAUAGCUUCCGUAGUAGAAUGACUCGGCAUGAACCAGAACUGGUUUUCUGAUAUAAACACUGCCCUCCUUAUCCUCAUUUCCACCACCCUCUCCCAAACUUUCAUGGUAUGACUUAGUAACUUGAUACCUUACAAUUCUGGAUAUCCCCUUUGUUCUUGUUCACCGAAACCUUUGUACUCCAACGCCACUCAUCAGGCAUCUUCUUUCUCUUGAAAAUAACAUUAAACAACCCAGUCAGCCACUCCAAGCCUUUUCUACUUGCAUUUCUCCAAAACUCUAUUGGAAUCUCGGUAGGUUCGAUCUCUUUUCCCGACUCAUCUUACCCAUCGCACCCAUGACCUCUUCAACCUUAAUGCGCCUACAAUAUCUAAAAUCUCGGUGACUCUCGGAGUGCCUUAAUUUCCCUAACAUGAUGUUUCCAUCCCCCACUUCAUUCAGAAGUUUAUAAAAGUACGACUGCCAUCUUUGCCUAAUCUGGGCCUCUUCCAUCACCUCGUCUUUGAUACACCUCACUUGAUCCAGAUCGCGAGCCUUUUUCUCUCGCUUUGUCCAAUCAAAAUAACUUCUUAUCCCCACCUUUGCCCUCCAGUUCCUCAUAAAGCCGACCAAAAGCAGUAGUCUUAGCCUCUGUGACCGCUAUUUUCGCCUCUUUCCUAUCCUCCGUUUAUCUUUCUGUAUUCGCUCUCCUUUAAUCCUCGUCAGUGCUCUAUACUAACUUAAUGUAUGUCACUUUCUUGGCUUCCACUUUAUCUUGGAUUACAUCAUUCCACCACCAGUCAUCUUGGUUCCCGCCAUAAUAGCCUUUCGAAACUCCCAAAACCUCUCUUGUUGCCCCCUUAUACAGUCCGUUGUCACCGUCCACAUAGCGCUAGCAUACCUACCACUCUUUCAGGCACCCAUAUUUGUCACCCACACCUCCAAAUCUUGUGCAUAAUCCUCAGACAAAGCUCCCCGUCGGACCCUGUACAAAUCUCUUCUUUCUCUUUAUUAAAAUACCGACGUCCAUCACUAGGAGCCUAUUUUGAGUUGUAAGAUUCUCACUCGGGAUCACCUUGCAAUCCUCGCACAACCCCCUAUCACAACUUCUGAGGAGGAGAUAGUCAAUUUGAGUCUUAGCAACCAUACUUCGGAAAGUAACCAAAUGUUCCUUCCUCUUCGCAAACAUAGAGUUCACAAUCGCCAACUCAAAGCUCUAGCGAAAUCUAACAGUGAGGUACCACCCCCAUUCCUAUCAGCAAAGCCGAUGCCACCGUGAACCUCACUAUAGCCACCAGUAGACAACCCAACAUGACCACUUAAAAUCCCUCAUAUGAAUAGAGUUCUCCCUCUAACUACUACCUUAAUCACCAUCAAUCUGUCAUUCACCCGUCUUAACUCUACCAUCGACUCUCUAAGCUUCCUGUCUACCAAAAUUCCCACUCUGUUCUUGCCCUUCACGACUCCGGAGAACCAAAAUUUAUACCCGUCUAUAUUCUUGCCUUCGAUCCUACCCACCUAGUCUCAUGCACAUGUGCUAUAUUGACCCUCCUCUUCAAGAGAAUCUUCGCCAGCUCUAUAGACUUACCCGUCAACGUCCCUAUAUUCCAAGAUACAACUCUCAACCUACAGGAUACCUUGUUC
rnacentral:lncRNA from 1 species